rnacentral:rRNA from 1 species
UACAGAGGUCCCGAGCGUUGUUCGGAUUCACUGGGCGUAAAGGGUGCGUAGGUGGCAUUGUAAGUUUGAUGUGAAAGCUCAGGGCUUAACCCUGAAAUGGCAUUGAAUACUGCGGUGCUGGAGGUUUGGAGGGGGGACUGGAAUUCUUGGUGUAGCAGUGAAAUGCGUAGAUAUCAAGAGGAACACCAGUGGCGAAGGCGAGUCCCUGGACAACACCUGACACUGAGGCACGAAAGCCGGGGGAGCAAACAGG